AAAAUCUCACCAGAGUAACAAUUGGAGGGCAAGUCUGGUGCCAGCAGCCGCGGUAAUUCCAGCUCCAAUAGCGUAUAUUAAACUUGUUGCAGUUAAAAAGCUCGUAGUUGAAUUUCUGCGUUGCCCGACUCGGCUACUUGCCUUGUCUGGUUUCGCUUUUGGGGUUUUCCCCUUUUUACUUUGAGAAAAUUAGAGUGUUUCAAGCAGACUUGUGUCUUGAAUACUUCAGCAUGGAAUAAUAAAGUAGGACUUUGGUUCUAUUUUGUUGGUUUGUGAACCUUAGUAAUGGUUAAUAGGAACGGUUGGGGGCAUUCGUAUUUAACUGUCAGAGGUGAAAUUCUUAGAUUUGUUAAAGACGAACUACUGCGAAAGCAUUUGCCAAGGACGUUUUCAUUAAUCAAGAACGAAAGUUAGGGGAUCGAAGACGAUCAGAUACCGUCGUAGUCCU
rnacentral:rRNA from 1 species